UCGAGUUUACAACUCCCAAACCCAUGUGAACAUACCAUAUGUUGCUUCGGCGGGAUCGCCCCGGGCGCCAUCGCGUGCCCCGGACCCAGGCGCCCGCCGGGGGACCUAAACUCCUGUAUUUUCUACGUCUCUCUGAGUGGAUUACACAAAUAAUCA
rnacentral:misc_RNA from 1 species